CGGCAAAGCAACCAUAAUAGCGUAUCGAGACGUACCUCUGCGGAAACCUGAUCCCCCGUACAGCCCAAAGCUUCGUCCCAACUUUUCCAUACUUUACUAUACGCCGCCCACGUGCCCGGAGCCAACGAAUCCCUGAUCAGUCCUCCAAGCAAGAGGUCCCGAGCCGCCACAUGUGAUCCGGACAUGACAGACCCUCCAUUUGUGCGUUCGGAGCCUCCAACCGAAAUUUUUCCCACUGAAAGCGAGAAAGCGAAUUAGCAAUUAUGUUCAAGAAUCC